rnacentral:lncRNA from 1 species
AAAGAAAGAAAAUUGGUAAAAAAAAAAGAAAAGAAAAGGCGAGCGAGGAUCCCUUGUGUCAAGACAACUUUGUCCUUGGCUGACGAUCAGGUUCCUGUACUGUACGGCAUGGUUGCAGCAACAACACCGGAGCCUCGUUCUUCGGACGCUGCCCCGUCGGAGUAGUAAAGCGAUCAGAGGAUGCAUGGCAUGCUACUGCUGGGCGGGCCAUGGGCUGGAGGCGAUGCGCGCGUAGAGGAACUGGUUCCAGGUGUCGGGCAGGCCCGGGAGGCACCAGUGGAUGCAGUCGGCGUAGGUCUUGGGGUCGGCCUGCUGCUCCGGG